ACAUACGUCUCAUUCAGUCGAGCUACACCCUCGCUUACUUUAUUCCACCCCAGCGCCGCGACCCUCUGAAUAAAAUCAGUUCGUGUACAACCAGCCUAGGGGGCGUCCGUGUCGGCUAGUUUCCCCAGUAAAAGCACGCGAUCUCUGCAAACUAGUGCAAUAUUUAAAACAAUUCGAAUUUCAAACAUUGUGUUCCGCUUGUUACCAUUAUGAACUUUUCUUACUAUGUUUAGUGUUCCCUUUUAGCCGUGUUGUCGUUGCGUUGUUUCCUUGAUUUGUUUUAACCUAGUGCCUGUGUAAAUGUUUGGUGGACGCCGGACGGCAUUUGGCUAACUUACGUUCCAUCUACUGUAUUUAACAUCGGGCAGGGAGAUAACAACGUUCCAGUCUCGGUGAGUGUCCAAUAUGUUAUGUUAAUAAUAAACUUU